CUGAGCUGAGCAUAGGUGGAGUGCUAGUGUAUUAGCAUGACGACCAGGGCAGUGCAAGACUUUGCUUCUAAGGCAAAUCGAUCAACCAGCAAAUAAAUUCUGAUUGUUCACUGUGUAUGUGUUUAAAUGGAAUGAGCUGCCUACCUCUAAAAAAGAGAUAUUUUUCCUGAAGAUCUGUCUUCUUUUGGAAAAGAAAUAAGAAAGGAAGAGAUGGCAACAAUGGGCCCACAUUCCUGCAGCAGCAAUCAGCUACCACAGAAUCUUUACUCAAGAGUGAGGAACGGAGAACUUGUCCUGCUAAUCCAACAACAGAGGAAACUCACCCAGUCACCCCACCCUUCUUGUAUAUGAAUGGACAACCAAGGAUCAGCAGGAAUAGUACUUAGGAACGUGGAGGGACUGAAUCAAGAAGAGGAAGACAUGGGUUUAGGAAACAGUGCAUCUCACUCGGCAGGCACUAAUCUGAAGUAUCAGGAUGACAGCAGAUUUCAGAGUCAACGCAAGAAAAGACUAUGGAAGAGUUGACUGAUUGCAGAAUCAAGAUCUAAAUAUCAACUACCUUGACAAUGUCAAAGUUACAGAGUAGCUGACUGACGCUCUCAGAGAACCUAGUGUGAGGUAACAGCAGAGAGGAAGGAAGCAGCUGCCCAGGACCACGCAGAUUAAAACCGUAAAAUGGCACAAAGAGACACUGGAAGGUUGGUUUCUGUGGUCAGGCAAACAGGAGGACAUGAAGAUGUAUAAUGCCCCAGGUGGGAGGAAACCCUCGACCGGCCCUCAGGAUUUAUAACAGCCUCACCUGAAGGAGAAGCAGGGGCACUUCACCAUCAGAUACCUGGAGAGGCACUGCCAUUUCCUUGCUGAGGAGUUUGCAAGCAGAUGCAGCACGAGCUGGCCCAGAGUCAUCCGUCACUGCCAGCCGUCACUCCACCGCCAUUCCCAUCAGUCCCAUUACCCGGGAUCAGGAGAGAGCCGAGCCUUGCGUCGGAAGGAUCAUUAAACUUGAGGCUCCCAGGUAGCACAGGUAGUCCAGGUGGCCUGUUGUUAUUUAUAAUAAAGGAAAGCACAGCAGAAGCACCUGACGGUGGCCCAGGAGGCCCGGCAGAGGACGCCUGAGCAGUGUCAUCAGUGAAGGACAGUUAGAAGUGGACUCUCCCCCCGCCCUCACUGUGGGGGAAAAUGGUUGAUGUUACAACUAGAAACCUAGAAACUGGGCAGAGCACAAAGAAGGUCCCAUGAACAGUUCAGAAUGCAUCAUUGUGGUAUUUACUGAUGAUUUCGUCUACUUCUUCGUAAAUCUUCGGGCAUUCAGCUGAGAAAGAGCCCCACAUCUGGCCCUAGGCAUAGCCCUCCUCAACUGGCCUGCGGGAUUAGGAACGCCCAGGUGGGACAUGAGUGUCUUCUUCAAUGGGCAUGGUUGUGGUAAGUGUC